rnacentral:tRNA from 1 species
GGCCUCGUAGCUCGGCUGGUAGAGCAUACGCGUACAAAGCGUAGGCGGUGUCCAUGCGUGGGUUCGAAUCCCACCGAGGCUA